AUGAACGCUAGCGAUGGGCUUAACCCAUGCAAGUCGAGGGGCAGCACAAGGUAGCUUGCUCUCUGGGUGGCGACCGGCGCACGGGUGCGUAACGCGUAUGCAACUUGCCCUAUACAGGAGGAUAACCCGUCGAAAGACGGACUAAUACUGCGUAUGCUCACAACUUGGCAUCAAGUGGUGAGGAAAGAAAUUCGGUAUAGGAUAGGCAUGCGUCCCAUUAGCUUGUUGGUGAGGUAACGGCUCACCAAGGCAACGAUGGGUAGGGGAACUGAGAGGUUUAUCCCCCACACUGGUACUGAGACACGGACCAGACUCCUACGGGAGGCAGCAGUGAGGAAUAUUGGUCAAUGGGCGCGAGCCUGAACCAGCCAAGUCGCGUGAAGGAUGACUGUCUUAUGGAUUGUAAACUUCUUUUAUACGGGAAUAACAAGAGUCACGUGUGACUCCCUGCAUGUACCGGAUGAAUAAGCAUCGGCUAACUCCGUG
rnacentral:rRNA from 1 species